CUGCUGUCAAAUUUUCAUAUCAAUUUAGUUAUUACGCGAAGCAUAAGGAUUUUAUAUCCACAUGAACUUAUAAAUUGGUCAAGAAAAACCAGUGGUUCUGUUGAUUAAAUGAUUCAUUUAAUUUGGUCUUGGAUUUUUUGAUUAUGUAUCGAGACUAACUGGGAAAGGUCUAUGUGAAGAAAUGUGAUGGGUUUUGUGAACUCCUGGAUGUAUUGAGUUUAAGAGGUCUUAGAAGCUUAAUUGAAUGUGGGGUUUUGGAAUUGGAACUCUUUCAGUUGAGAGCAGACUCUGAUUCUUUUCAUUAAUCGGGAAAUGUCUUAGGAAGAGUGAAUUGAACGAAGUAGCACAGAAACUGGAUGGUGCCAGUUAGCAUUUCUAGCCCUUGUUUGAUACCCAUUUUUCUCAAAAUACAUUUUCUCCCUCUUUUUUUCAAACACACAUUCUUCAAUAAAAUAAUAUUACACGCAAAACUAAAAAAAUUUCUUAAUUCUUAACCGCGCGUUCUUCAUCAAUUAACUAUUUCAAAAUGCAUUCUUAUUAAAAAAAAAAAAAAGGGAAACAAACAGGGUCCUAAUAUAACAGUGAAAAAACUUCCCUUUCUAACUGAAAUGAUGGCACUUUGUAUGUUCUGUUUUUGAGUUACCUAGUAGAUACAACAAAGCACGUUGUGCUGUAAGACAUCGUUAAAUGGUUAGUGGAGAAUGCAAUGGAUGCAACCACAUUAUCGUAUGCUGUUCCGUGCAUAAUAUGCAAAGAGUAGGUCCAUACCCAAGUAACCUUUUGACAUUCUAUGCAAGGACUUAACUAAUUAUGGUCCAACUGUCAUUAGACCUAAAAACUCUGUUGGUAUCUCAAGUUUAGUUUUUCUUAUCGUUUUUUAAUUAAGGGAAAAUGUUUUCGAAUGGUCCUGAAUAGCAUUGUAUUUCUUAAGAGAGAAAACUUUAUCUUGGAUGCUUUAUUUGCACGUUUUCAUGUGCUGUAUGAUAGAACUUACAAUUAUUUCAGAUCUUACUUGAAAUAACUUUCGAUUCUGUAGUCAUAGUUCCCCUUCCACAUGAUAUGUGGCAGCUUGGUGAAUCUAGUAGCUAAAUACUAUGUUGAAAUGAAUUUACUGUCUUUGCAGUUUGUGCCACUUGUUUUACAAGUUACUGGAGAAAUAAAUUUGGGAGAGCUACUUGUAAAUCAUAUUUCCUCUUUUUCACCUGCGUUCAGGUGGAAGACUUUAAAUGACUUUAUUUGCACGUUUUCACAGGGUGUAUGAUAGAACUUACAAUUAUUUCAUAUCUUACUUGAAAUAACUUUAGAUUCUGUAGCCAUUGUUCCCCUUGUACAUGAUAUGUGGCAGCUUGGUUGAACUAGUAGCUAAAUAGUAUGUCCAAAUGAAUUUAUUGUCUUUGCAGUUUGUGCCACUUGUUUUACAAGUUACCGGAGAAAUAAAUUUGGGAGAGCUACUUGUAAAUCAUAUUUCCUCUUUUUCAGCUGCGUUCUGGUGGGACACUUCAAGUGAUAUUUCUAUUAACAUUACGUCUUUUAGUUUAUCUAUUUAUCUAGAUGUUGUACUAAAGUGCAG
rnacentral:lncRNA from 1 species